rnacentral:rRNA from 1 species
GAUGAACGCUGGCGGCGUGCCUAAUACAUGCAAGUCGAACGCACAGCGAAAGGUGCUUGCACCUUUCAAGUGAGUGGCGAACGGGUGAGUAACACGUGGAUAACCUACCUCAAGGUUGGGGAUAACAUUUGGAAACAGAUGCUAAUACCGAAUAAAACUUAGUAUCGCAUGAUACCAGGUUAAAAAGGCGCUACGGCGUCACCUAGAGAUGGAUCCGCGGUGCAUAGUUAGUUGGUGGGUAAAGGCGUUACCAAGACAAUGAUGCAUAGCCGAGUUGAGAGACUGAUCGGCCACAUUGGGACUGAGACACGGCCCAAAC